UACAGAUUAGAAAAUUAAGGUUCAGGUCAAUUAAAGAUGUGGAGCUUUGCUUCUCCAUGGGAGAAAAUUUGGCCUAGUUUUAGAUGGACAUACCUUAUGCCUUUUAGAGCACAAACCCAAGAUACUAAACUGUCUCUGGAUUUAAGUGUAAGACCAAAAGAUUGUCUAGAAAAGUUUGAGGGCAGUGUGUAUUUGGAUUGGCACAUGCAUCCUUUGAGCCUAAAUAUAAGAAGAGAAUCCAGAGAAAUAUCAUCAUUCCUGUCAAGGAAAAAAGUGAGCACUAACAGGAGUGGUGGUAAGAGGCCCAUAGGAGAAGGCAUAAGAGUCAGAGGGGAGAAGGAGAAAAGGGAGAAUAAGCUGCUGGAUUGUCCACUCCUGGAG
ensembl:lncRNA novel transcript